GCUAUCUUGUUAGUCAUGCUGAACUGAAUGCUACUUUUCCAACCAAAGAGGUCCAAACCAGGGCUCUUCCUUUGCUUCGGUCUUGGGUAAACACAAGGUGCUCUUGAACCAAGAAGAAAAAUGCCAGACCCCGAUUGGGAGACUCAGAAUGACUUCCUGAAAAGAUACUUUGGGCUGAGAUCUGAGGCUUCAAUCGAAUUUGUUCUACGAAGAAAACAAGGAAGGACAGUCAUCCUCAGUAAAGAGAUCCUUGUGGAUGAAGACCCAGAGGUGAGCCAGCCCUGAGUGUCUGGACAUCCACAAGGAAGUCAGUGUGGCUGGAGGACAAGGUGUUACAUAACAGACUUACAUUUUCAUUCAUCUACGGGCCUCUAAUAAUUGAGAAGAAGUCACUCAAGUGAGGAAGAUCUGUAGGUGCAUGAACUUGCUGGGAAUAUUAAGCGGUGAUACUCCGUGGAGCUCUGGAGACUUGAGUCCUUAGCAGUGAUUUAGGAAGACCCGUCGCAGAUCACUACAGUGAAAUUGACUCCAGGCAUGAAUGCUAUAGAAAAACACAAGGACUGCACGGAUCAUAAGCCAAAUACAGACAUAGAAAUGAGAUAUUUUCCAGGUGGAGCGACUGAGCUGUGUAACAUUUCCAAACGUGUAGAUAAAUCUCCUCAUCUAUCAUGAUGUCACCAACGACCCUGAAAAUCUGCAAUCCACGGUUCAUCGUGAAAACAUUUCAUGGAUGCUUUAUUAUUUUUCAUGAAGAAGGAGCACAGGCUCCAGACGCGCAGGCUCAGCGGCCAUGGCUCACGGGCCCAC